GACCAAAGUAGCUGCCGAAUCUUGAAGAAGAAGGCUGAUUUAAACAUUGGUGGAUGCGUUAGUGAAAAACCAGUAGAAAUUGGUAGGAAUGAAUAUUUUUAACAAAUAGUAUACAUUUCUAUCGUACGAACAUGGUAACAUGGUAAUAUAUACUGCCGAUUCGAUGUGUAGGCAUUUUCUCUAUCUUAUGAGUUUCAGGAAGAACCUGUGAAUAAGAAAUAAUGACAAUAUUUAUACGCAAUAUUUAGCAUUUUUACGUUUUAUAAACUUAAUCUAAUAUUUUAUCAAAUUUAUAUAGGAGUCUGUGGUGGACAUUGCUCUUCAUUUUCGAACUUUGUAGAAAGGAACGGAUUCUAUGAAAUGAGUUGUGGUUGCUGCAAAACGAAAACAAAAGUCACCAUUACUGUUGAUUUGAAGUGCAGCAUGAAUACCUACCAAGCUUUUAACAUCAAGUCAGCGGAAUCCUGUUCUUGUGAAUCUUGCGAAAUGGCCCGCACAAUUGACGUUCAAUAAUAGUAACCAGAGAUAAUUUCGUAAUUAUCAUUAUUCGUAGUAUUGUAGUGUUAUAACAUAUUGUGAGGAUAGACCACACUAAAUAUAUAUAUAUAUACAGCAUAUAUACAGACAUUUUAUAUAAUAUACAAACAAUUAAAAGCAGUAAAAGUUGUAAAGUAAUAAAAGCAGACGGGAGAAUUGAGAACUUUUGCGAUGGAAAUUUUCAAAGGAACUGAAUUAAACUGGCUUCUCAAUUUCUAUUUGGUUUCUAUCAAAUUCGACUGUAUGUCAUGUAAUAGACGUAAGUACCAUAGGAUGAGAAUGGGUACGUACCAUGCGUGGAUACCAUGCAUGCUGAGGAUGUCGGUGAAAUAUUUACGGCCAUGCACCUGCUUCACAAAGGAUAGUUAACAGUGGUAACGUUCCCAUUAAGACAAAUGCUCGAUAUAUAGGUUAAGGC
rnacentral:lncRNA from 1 species